rnacentral:rRNA from 1 species
UACGAAGGGGGCUAGCGUUGUUCGGAAUCACUGGGCGUAAAGGGCGCGUAGGCGGUCUCUUAAGCGUGUGGUGAAAGCCCGGGGCUCAACUCCGGGUCGGCCGUGCGAACUGGGGGACUGGAGCUUGUCAGAGGCAGGCGGAAUUCCGGGUGUAGCGGUGGAAUGCGUAGAGAUCGGGAAGAACAUCAGUGGCGAAGGCGGAUCUCUGGGCCUUACCUGACGCUGAGGCGCGAAAGCUAGGGGAGCAAACAGG